GCGACAAUUUUUGAAAUCGGCCGCUGAGUACAAGAAGAAGAUCGAAUUUGACGGCGUGCUUCUCAUUGAACCAAAGCCUCAGGAACCCACGAAGCAUCAAUAUGAUUGGGAUGCUGCAAC